rnacentral:lncRNA from 10 species
GGCACACGUGGAGCUGCGCGUGGAGGAGUCCAGGCUGCAGCCGAGGGAGCUGAGUAGGGCAAAGUUAGGAGUCGCUGUUUGGAUGGCAAGUUCAGAAGUUGGAACUUGUCUCAGUUUCCCCGCUCCAGAAAUGGGGUUGUGAUAUAAAGACAGGGAUAUGAGUGAAGAAAACACAGAGCCACCCUGGAAAGGCACCCUCUUACGCACAGUCGGAUGGUCUAUGGAGACUCACAAUCAUGUGCAAUCUGGAAGCAAAGAAUGAGUGGGGAGAUCUGAGAAUCGAUACUGAACAGCUUCAGUACUACGAUGUCAUAAUGGGGCUGUGAGCUCAGCCGAAAGCCCCCCGCCCAGUUUUUUUUGGAAGUGGUCAUAGAAUCUCUCUGGAGAAACAACAUGGAAAUGGAGACCAAAAGAGGGAAGGAGGGAUGCCACCAGAUGACACUGGGAUCCCGGAAGACGGAACACUGUGUGCAACGGGCAAAGAACUUUUCAAAAGGGAUUUCAACCUCUGACCACCUGGAGACAGGCGACUGGCGCUCAUUGUAAAUGCACCGACAUGACAGGGAACAGCUGCUGGGGAGGUGGAGACGGGUGCCGGGAGAGACAGGAAACCCCAGAGGCUUGGAAAUCCAGGAGCCACAGGAAGCAGUGAGCUUUCUGCGGAGCCGGAUCCGGUGGAGCCAAUUCACCAGCAGGUCCCGGCAGCAACUCUUCUACAACAGAUUCCUGCCCGUCCCUGUGCCCCAUCGCCCCCCUGCCGUCAAUCUCCACCUCAAGGGAGCCAGACCAAGCCUUUCUGUGUGUAGCGCACAUCUCUCCUGCGUAGAGCUCACCUAGUGGCUUCCAUAGCUUUUUUUUUUUUUUUUUUGGAGACAGGGUCUUGCCCUGUCACCCAGGCUGGGGUACGGUGGCAUGAUCAUGGCUCACUGCAGCUCCCUCCUGGGCUCAAGUGAUCCUCCUGCCUCAACCAGCUACUCAGGAGGCUGAGGCAGGAGAAUGGCGUGAACCCGGGAGGCGGAGCUUACAGUGAGCUGAGAUCACACGCCACUGCACUCCAGCCUGGGUGACAGAACGAGACUCCGUCUCAAAAAAAAAAAAAAUGUAAUAAUGGGAGCCUCAUAUGUAAUUGUACAUUUUCUAGCAGUAAGAGGAAAUUAAAUUUAAUAAUAUAUUUUACUUC